AUUGAACGCUGGCGGCAUGCUUUACACAUGCAAGUCGAACGGUAACAGGUUAAGCUGACGAGUGGCGAACGGGUGAGUAAUGCAUCGGAACGUGCCCGAUCGUGGGGGAUAACGUAGCGAAAGCUGCGCUAAUACCGCAUACGAUCUGAGGAUGAAAGCGGGGGACCGUAAGGCCUCGCGCGAUCGGAGCGGCCGAUGUCAGAUUAGGUAGUUGGUGGGGUAAAGGCCCACCAAGCCGACGAUCUGUAGCUGGUCUGAGAGGACGACCAGUCACACUGGGACUGAGACACGGCCCAGACUCCUACGGGAGGCAGCAGUGGGGAAUUUUGGACAAUGGGCGAAAGCCUGAUCCAGCAAUGCCGCGUGCAGGAUGAAGGCCUUCGGGUUGUAAACUGCUUUUGUACGGAACGAAAAGCCCUGGAUUAAUACCCUGGGGUCAUGACGGUACCGUAAGAAUAAGCACCGGCUAACUACGUGCCAGCCGCCGCAGUAACAC
rnacentral:rRNA from 1 species